CAUAUAUAGCAAACAAUGUCUCAUCAAUUAAAGAAAAUGAGAACAAAAAGAAAAAUGAUAUCAAAAGAAAAGAAAUAUAUUUGUUCGAUUAGCGCGAAUUAUUAGUCGGAAAAACAACGUUUGUUUUUUUAUGGAUUUCUGAUAAAUAAAUUUUGUGUUAUAUUUAUAGUAUAGAGUUUACGUUCUACAUAAGUAAAAAGUUACAACGUGUGUGGCACACGCUUGUGUUUUAUUCUAGUGAUAUAGAAGAUUUGCUUUAAAAUAAUGACUUCAAUACAUGCUUGCAGUUUGUUUAACAAUAUAAAAAGUCCUUAUAUUUUUUGUGGACUACUUCCUUAAUAUUGAUUUAUACCGUCCUGUUCUCUUUCUUUGUUUUUCUUUUCUUCUGUGACCUACCCAUUUCUCGUAUGACCGAUAAUCUCGCACUAAUACUGGUUUUUUGAUUUUGUUAUCCAGUCAAUCAAGUCAAAUAAUUAAUUGUAGCCGUGACCGUGUAUGAGCUGCCAACGACCUACUUUUCUUGAGCACAUCCCGAACGGGGACGAGUGAGAGGAAAAGGAAAAACAAGGUGACCUUUCAUCGAACAAUCAGAUAUUCGAAUUUAUGUAAAUCCAAAUAACGGAAGCACCCACAAUAUGUCACAAGAAGACGAUCGCUGGCACUUUUUUAAAAGUGAAAAGCAAAAUCGGUAACAUUCGUGCGCGAGACAGCGUUGGAUUACAUCGACAGGUUCUAUUCAUAUGAGCUACUUAUUGCUGUUAUCGGAAGUGACGAAAAUCAACAAGUGCGGUGGGGAUCGGAGGAUACAUUUGUCGAACGGUGAUCCUCUUGACGGGCGCUCACCACAAGUGGGCGAUCAGUUUUUCGUAGGACGUGUCUCUCUUCUCAUCGUAUAUCGACGAGCAGCGAGACGCUCGUGAAGCAAAUCGUAUAUCGAAGUUUAUCCGUUCCUCUUCUUAUUUUAAUGUGUUGAUUUUGAGCAAAGACCACGAGUACCAAAAGUUCCUGCAUUUCAAAGUUUGAGAAAUAAUAACAAGACAAUUCAGUGCUCGUUAAAGAAAAAAUUCCCUACAUCUGAGCACAUUACAUCACCGACAUGGCUAGUCUUAUACGAGACGUAGUUAGUAAUUAUAAUGAAGC